rnacentral:rRNA from 1 species
UACGAAGGGGGCUAGCGUUGUUCGGAAUUACUGGGCGUAAAGCGCGCGCAGGCGGUUCUUCAAGUCAGUGGUGAAAGCCCGGAGCUCAACUCCGGAACUGCCAUUGAAACUGUGGAACUUGAGGAUGAGAGAGGUGAGUGGAAUUCCCAGUGUAGAGGUGAAAUUCGUAGAUAUUGGGAAGAACACCGGUGGCGAAGGCGGCUCACUGGCCCGUUACUGACGCUCAGGCGCGACAGCGUGGGGAUCAAACAGG